rnacentral:rRNA from 1 species
UGCUCAGAACGAACGCUGGCGGCGGGCUUAACMCAUGCAAGUCGAACGGGUGUAGCAAUACAUCAGUGGCAGACGGGUGAGUAACACGUGGGAACCUUCCUAGAGGUACGGAACAACGCAGGGAAACUUGCGCUAAUACCGUAUACGCUCUUGCGAGGAAAGAUUUAUCGCCUUUAGACGGGCCCGCGUAGGAUUAGGUAGUUGGUGGGGUAACGGCCUACCAAGCCUACGAUCCUUAGCUGAUCUGAGAGGAUGAUCAGCCMCACUGGAACUGAGACACGGUCCAGACUCCUACGGGAGGCAGCAGUGGGGAAUCUUGGACAAUGGGCGCAAGCCUGAUCCAGCCAUGCCGCGUGAGUGAAGAAGGCCUUCGGGUUGUAAAGCUCUU